rnacentral:rRNA from 1 species
UACGUGGAGGUGCGAGCGUUAAUCGGAAUUACUGGGCGUAAAGCGUGCGCAGGCGGCUUCGCAAGUCAGGCGUGAAAUCCCCGGGCUUAACCUGGGAAUGGCGUCUGAAACUACGGAGCUGGAGUGUGGCAGAGGGAGGUAGAAUUCCACGUGUAGCGGUGAAAUGCGUAGAUAUGUGGAGGAAUACCGAUGGCGAAGGCAGCCUCCUGGGCCAACACUGACGCUCAUGCACGAAAGCGUGGGGAGCAAACAGG